UACGGAGGGGGCAAGCGUUGUUCGGAUUUACUGGGCGUAAAGGGUGUGUAGGCGGUUGUGCAAGUCUGGUGUGAAAUCUUCACCGCUUAACGGGAAGAGGUCACUGGAAACUGCGUAACUCGAGUAUGGUAGAGGCAAGCGGAAUUCCUGGUGUAGCGGUGGAAUGUGUAGAUAUCAGGAAGAACAUCUGUGGCGAAGGCGGCUUGCUGGGCCAUCACUGACGCUGAGACACGAAAGCGUGGGGAGCAAACGGG
rnacentral:rRNA from 1 species